rnacentral:rRNA from 2 species
UACGGAGGAUCCAAGCGUUAUCCGGAUUUAUUGGGUUUAAAGGGUGCGUAGGCGGAUUAUUAAGUCAGUGUUGAAAGGCUAAAGCUUAACUUUAGAAGUGGCAUUGAUACUGGUAGUCUUGAGUACAGAUGAAGUGGGCGGAAUGUGUCAUGUAGCGGUGAAAUGCAUAGAUAUGACACAGAACACCGAUUGCGAAGGCAGCUCACUAAGUUGUAACUGACGCUGAGGCACGAAAGCGUGGGGAUCAAACAGG